rnacentral:rRNA from 1 species
GACAACUCUAGAGAUAGAGCCUUCCCCUUCGGGGGACAAAGUGACAGGUGGUGCAUGGUUGUCGUCAGCUCGUGUCGUGAGAUGUUGGGUUAAGUCCCGCAACGAGCGCAACCCUUAAGCUUAGUUGCCAUCAUUAAGUUGGGCACUCUAAGUUGACUGCCGGUGACAAACCGGAGGAAGGUGGGGAUGACGUCAAAUCAUCAUGCCCCUUAUGAUUUGGGCUACACACGUGCUACAAUGGACAAUACAAAGGGCAGCGAAACCGUGAGGUCAAGCAAAUCCCAUA